rnacentral:rRNA from 1 species
GAUGAACGCUGGCGGCGUGCCUAAUACAUGCAAGUCGAGCGGACGGACGAGAAGCUUGCUUCUCUGAUGUUAGCGGCGGACGGGUGAGUAACACGUGGAUAACCUACCUAUAAGACUGGGAUAACUUCGGGAAACCGGAGCUAAUACCGGAUACUAUUUUGAACCGCAUGGUUCAAAAGUGAAAGACGGUCUUGCUGUCACUGAUAGAUGGAUCCGCGCUGCAUUAGCUAGUUGGUAAGGUAACGGCUUACCAAGGCAACGAUGCAUAGCCGACCUGAGAGGGUGAUCGGCCACACUGGAACUGAGACACGGUCCAGACUCCUACGGGAGGCAGCAGUAGGGAAUCUUCCGCAAUGGGCGAAAGCCUGACGGAGCAACGCCGCGUGAGUGAUGAAGGUCUUCGGAUCGUAAAACUCUGUUAUUAGGGAAGAACAUAUGUGUAAGUAACUGUGCACAUCUUGACGGUACCUAAUCAGAAAGCCACGGCUAACUACGUG